AAUAGAUACCCCUGGUAGUCCACGCCGUAAACGAUGAGUGCUAAGUGUUAGAGGGUUUCCGCCCUUUAGUGCUGCAGCUAACGCAUUAAGCACUCCGCCUGGGGAGUACGGCCGCAAGGCUGAAACUCAAAGGAAUUGACGGGGGCCCGCACAAGCGGUGGAGCAUGUGGUUUAAUUCGAAGCAACGCGAAGAACCUUACCAGGUCUUGACAUCCUCUGCCAACCCUAGAGAUAGGGCGUUCCCCUUCGGGGGGACAGAGUGACAGGUGGUGCAUGGUUGUCGUCAGCUCGUGUCGUGAGAUGUUGGGUUAAGUCCCGCAACGAGCGCAACCCUUGAUCUUAGUUGCCAGCAUUCAGUUGGGCACUCUAAGGUGACUGCCGGUGACAAACCGGAGGAAGUGGGGAUGACGUCAAAUCAUCAUGCCCCUUAUGACCUGGGCUACACACGUGCUGCAAUGGAUGGUACAAAGAGCUGCGAACCCGCGAGGGUAAGCGAAUCUCAUAAAGCCAUUCUCAGUUCGGAUUGGU
rnacentral:rRNA from 1 species